rnacentral:misc_RNA from 1 species
AAGUCGUAACAAGGUUUCCGUAGGUGAACCUGCGGAAGGAUCAUUAAUAGAGACCGUCGCCUGGAUAGGGGAAACCCCCCGGCAGCACUCUCCACCCCCUUCGAUUGUCGUUACCUUUAGUUCGCUUUUGGCGGGUUGCUGCAGCCCAAGCAUGGCUCCGUCGGCUCCGGCUGGCGAGCACCCGCCAGAGGUCCAAACAAAACUCUUGAAGUAAACAAUGAAGUCUGAUUUUAUUACUAUGAAAAUAGCCUAAAA